GACGAACGCUGGCGGCGUGCUUAACACAUGCAAGUCGAACGGAAAGGCCCUGCUUUUGUGGGGUGCUCGAGUGGCGAACGGGUGAGUAACACGUGAGUAACCUGCCCUUGACUUUGGGAUAACUUCAGGAAACUGGGGCUAAUACCGGAUAGGAGCUCCUGCUGCAUGGUGGGGGUUGGAAAGUUUCGGCGGUUGGGGAUGGACUCGCGGCUUAUCAGCUUGUUGGUGGGGUAGUGGCUUACCAAGGCUUUGACGGGUAGCCGGCCUGAGAGGGUGAACGGUGACAUUGGGACUGAGAUACGGCCCAGACUCCUACGGGAGGCAGCAGGGGGGAAUAUUGCACAAUGGGCGGAAGCCUGAUGCAGCAACGCCGCGUGCGGGAUGACGGCCUUCGGGUUGUAAACCGCUUUCGCCUGUGACGAAGCGUGAGUGACGGUAAUGGGUAAAGAAGCACCGGCUAACUACGUG
rnacentral:rRNA from 1 species